CUAGAGGCUGGGAGAGGCAAGCGGAAUUACCGGUGUAGCAGUGGAAUGCGUUAAUAUCGGUAGGAACACCAAAGGCGAAGGCAGCUUGCUUGAACAGACCUGACGCUCAGGGACGAAAGCGUGGGGAGCGAAUGGGAUUAGAUACCCCAGUAGUCCACGCCGUAAACGAUGGAUACUAAGCAUUGGAAGUAUCGACCCUUUCAGUGUUGAUUAAUUAAGCUAACGCCUUAAGUAUCCCGCCUGGGAAGUACGGCCGCAAGGCUAAAACUCAAAGGAAUUGACGGGAGCCCGCACAAGCGGUGGAGCAUGUGGUUUAAUUCGACAAUAAGCGUAGAACCUUACCAAGGCUUGACUUCCUUAGAAUCCUGCAGAAACGCGGGAGUGCCCGCAAGGGAACUGAGUGACAGGUGCUGCAUGGUUGUCGUCAGCUCGUGUCGUGAGAUGUCAGGUUAAGUCCUUUAACGAGCGCAACCCUCAUCCUAUGUUAAUUUCCAUAGGAAACUGCCCGGGUUCAACCGGGAGGAAGGUGAGGAUGACGUCAAAUCAGCAUGGCCCUUAUGCCUUGGGCAACACACGUGCUACAAUGGUUGGUACAAUGGGUCGCCAAGUCGAGAGACGGAGCUAAUCCCAUCAAAACCAAUCUCAGUUCGGAUUGAGGUCUGCAACUCGACCUCAUGAAGUUGGAAUCGCUAGUAAACGCGGAUCAGCUACGCAGCGUUGAAUACGUUCUCGGGCUUUGUACACACCGCCCGUCAAGUCAAGGGAGUUGGUAAUACCCGAAGGCUGACAAUAGUCGGACGAAGGUAGGACCAGCGACAAGGACUAAGUCGUAACAAGGU
rnacentral:rRNA from 1 species